rnacentral:rRNA from 1 species
CGACACGUGUUUAUCUCGAAGGNGUCGGGGUGAAAGCCCCUUCCUCAAGCCGGGGAAUCGCUUCCCCUUGGCGGGGCGUCCUUCCCGGCAUAAUAACCAACCCCGGCGCGGUCUGCGCCAAGGAACAUGAAUACAAGCGUGCCCUUCUCCGACUGGUUCGCCGGUCGUGGACGUGGCACCAAGUCGUAUAUAACAUUAAACGACUCUCGGCAACGGAUAUCUCGGCUCUCGCAUCGAUGAAGAACGUAGCGAAAUGCGAUACUUGGUGUGAAUUGCACAAUCCCGUGAACCAUCGAGUCUUUGAACGCAAGUUGCGCCCGAAGCCUUUAGGUUGAGGGCACGCCUGCCUGGGCGUCACGCAUCGCGUCUCCCCCCACCACCCCGUGUGGAUGGGGAGGAGGAUGAUGGCCUCCCAUGCCUCACCGGGCGUGGAUGGCCUAAAUAUGGAGCCCCCGGUUACAAUGCCGCGGUUGGUGGAAUACAAGGCACCCCUAGAUGAAACGGUAUCGCGCACAUCUGGCUCUUGAGACUGACCCUUACUUGUUUGCCCCUAGGGCGGCAAAACCGUUGCGACCCCCAGGUCAGGCGGGCUACCCGCUGAGUUUAAGCAUAUCAAUAAGGAGGAAA